CUCAGUUGGUAGAGCGAUCUGAUUUGUAAUCAGAGGGUCGCGUGUUCAAGUCAUGUAGCCGGCA
rnacentral:tRNA from 1 species